AUUUUUUGAUCACACGCACAAAUUUUUUCACUCUUAAAUAUAAACCUUUAUUGUGGAAAUCAAAAAGCAAAAUUAUGGAAUUUAGAGUGAAUUUAGAGCGCUCAAAUUUGUUAAAUAAUUAAACAAAAUUUUUUUGUUUUUUUCUUAGAAGUUCAUUGAGAGGUCUGGAUUCUAAUUCAUGCUCAACACCACGCGGAUUUCUUCAGAAGGGCAGAUGAGAAGAGAAGUUGCUGAAAAAUGUCGCUGAAAUUAAUCAUCUUUGCAGUUUCUUUUAUUUUCAUUCAAGGAAAGUUAGAGAGAAAUUUCUAAAUAUAUUUAAAUUCUUAAAAAUCCACGCUUUGUUGGAAUUGCAUAGUGGAAAUAUAUAUGAAGUGAAAAAUUUAAGAAUGGGUUUUUUAAAGAAAUGACUACAGAAAGAAUAAAAAGUUAUACAUUACAAAAUUUUGGUUUUGCAGUAACAAUGUUUUUAUGCAACAAAUAUUAUUAUUGCUUUCUGGCAUUUACCUUUAAAAAAUAAAAUAGUUUGAUUAACAAGACUUCACACCAAAAUUCCAAAAAUUGCAUUCUUUGUUGGAAUUAUAAAGUGGAAAUUUAUAUGGAGUGAUAACUUUAAAAAAUAAAGUUUUCUAAAGCAAUGACUACAGAAGGAAUUAAAAAAUCUACGUUACAAAAUUGUAGCUUUGCAGUAACAAUGUUUUAAUGCAUCAAAUAUUUUUAUUGCUUUCUCGCAUUUACCAUCAAGAAAUGAAAUAGUUUGGUUGAAAAGACUUGACACCAACGUGGUUUAUUUUUUAACUUGCCUUUCUUUUUUUGUACAGAAACUUAAACUCAAAUAGACCGGGAAUGAGUUAAUUAAUUAUUCUUCGAUGUACAAUAUAACAAAACUCAUGCCGUGAUAUUUUUCGAGUAGUCUCUCCGAGCCUCAAUAAUAACAGCUUGUGUAACAACCAAGGCAUCUGAAACAGGUGCAUUUUGCUCAAAAAAACCCUUUCGCAUUUGGAAAACGAUUGAAUAGAUGUACAUUUUUUUCCAGGCACAUUGUUACACUAACGGCAGCUCAAGCUAUGUCUGCGUAGAUGACAAUUGGUGGGAAAAACAAAACGAUGGUGUCAAAUCUGGUCUUGGGUUAGAUGUCUUUGUUGUGAUUAUCCUACCAUGUAUACUGUGCUGCUACUGUUGUUGUUGUAGUAAUACAGAACACACAACAAUUGUCAUGACGGGACAACCUAGUGCAGCUCCAAUGGCCAUGGUUGUCAACAAUACCAACGUGAUGCAACAACAGACGAGCAUACCGUAUGAAAGACAAGUGAAUUAUCCGAUGUGAAGAUGGUUUUAGAUUUUAUACUUGUAUUAGAAUUUUGUAGAUCAUCGGUUCGAUACAUUUUGUAAUUAUUCUUCUAUUUUUUUUAAAAAAGAAUGAUUGUUGUAGCGA